CGGCCAUUUUGGUUCAGCUUUAAAUGAUUUAGGGCUGGCAUGGUCCGAUUUACUUGGGCUCACUUUGGUUUCAUCAAGACUCAUUAAUUUCCCAAUCCCAAACAAGGCAAUAGUACGGUCACAACUCUCAACCUGCAACUCCCAGGCCCAACACAAAAAACAAGAAGGAGAGACGACAGACGAGGUCAAUGCAGAAAAAUUGAAGGAGGGCUGGAUAUGGAAAGAGGGAACAGAAGAGAGAGAGGAGGUAAAAGCAGUAAACAAAAUUUGAAUCUUGUAGACGAGGCUCUGCCGUUCUACACACCAUAGCCAUUAAUAAUCCCCACUUCCCAGUCCCCAGUCCCCAGUCCCCACGCCUUCUUGAGAGAGGUUACUCCUCUAUUUGGCUAUUUAUAUGGCUUCUCUAUCUUUUGAAGAGAACACAGUAAUAUCGUACAAUAUAUUCUGUGAACUAGGCUUUUCUUGCUUAGCUUAGCGGAAUUCCAGAUCCGCUAGCGGAGAAGCAGAGGUGUUUCGCAAAAAUUCAGGGAACUUACUGUCUCUGUUCGCCAUUGUUCUUUGUUGUGGUGUUGGUACUUGGUAGUCGACUUAGAGAGUUACUAUCCCUGUAAUCCCUCUGGGAAUCGUGCUGCUGGUGCGGUGAUGGUCGAAGGUGCCUUGCUCAGUUGAAGUGGUAGCAUAAUAAAAAAGGUAUGCCUAUGAGGAACCCAAAUUUGCUACCUUAUCUAAUAAUCGGAAUCCUAUUUGAGCGUAUUGUUCUUGGGUCUGAACUUUUGGCCUAAUCAUGAUGGCAGACAAGACCGAGUCUAUGCAUUUAGUUGGCGUUACGAUGAUCAUGUCUGCUUACUCCUCUGGAGGUACAAUAACGAUCAGAUCAUAAAGGGUACAACUGCUGAUAAAUUGCCACGUUCAUUGCGCAACCAUUGAAUGAUCGAACUUGGUCUUCAAGACACAUUUACUUGAUUACGGAUGUAUGAACUUGUUUAUAAUAAUAUUUUUGUGAAACACUUUUUUAUUAUACUGAAAUCAUCUUGUUUUCCAAACAUGCCGCAUUGACUAGUGCCAUGAUUGAUGGUGUAUGAACUUGUCUAUUGUAAUAUUAUUGUGAACACUUUAUUAUACAGAAAAUCUUCUUGUUUUCUAAUAAAAUAAAAAAAAAAAAAAAA